UACGAAGGGGGCAAGCGUUGUUCGGAAUUACUGGGCGUAAAGGGCGCGUAGGCGGCUUACCAAGUCAGGCGUGAAAUUCCCGGGCUCAACCUGGGGGCUGCGCUUGAUACUGGUGAGCUUGAAUGCGGGAGAGGAUAGUGGAAUUCCCAGUGUAGAGGUGAAAUUCGUAGAUAUUGGGAAGAACACCGGUGGCGAAGGCGGCCAUCUGGACCGCAACUGACGCUGAGGCGCGAAAGCGUGGGGAGCAAACAGG
rnacentral:rRNA from 1 species